UCUGGAAAGGCGCGCGAUACAGGGUGACAGCCCCGUACACAAAAAUGCACAUGCUGUGAGCUCGAUGAGUAGGGCGGGACACGUGGUAUCCUGUCUGAAUAUGGGGGGACCAUCCUCCAAGGCUAAAUACUCCUGACUGACCGAUAGUGAACCAGUACCGUGAGGGAAAGGCGAAAAGAACCCCGGCGAGGGGAGUGAAAAAGAACCUGAAACCGUGUACGUACAAGCAGUGGGAGCCCUGAUUUAUCAGGGUGACUGCGUACCUUUUGUAUAAUGGGUCAGCGACUUAUAUUCUGUAGCAAGGUUAACCGAAUAGGGGAGCCGGAGGGAAACCGAGUCUUAACUGGGCGUUAAGUUGCAGGGUAUAGACCCGAAACCCGGUGAUCUAGCCAUGGGCAGGUUGAAGGUUGGGUAACACUAACUGGAGGACCGAACCGACUAAUGUUGAAAAAUUAGCGGAUGACUUGUGGCUGGGGGUGAAAGGCCAAUCAAACCGGGAGAUAGCUGGUUCUCCCCGAAAGCUAUUUAGGUAGCGCCUCGUGAAUUCAUCUCCGGGGGUAGAGCACUGUUUCGGCAAGGGGGUCAUCCCGACUUACCAACCCGAUGCAAACUGCGAAUACCGGAGAAUGUUAUCACGGGAGACACACGGCGGGUGCUAACGUCCGUCGUGAAGAGGGAAACAACCCAGACCGCCAGCUAAGGUCCCAAAGUCAUGGUUAAGUGGGAAACGAUGUGGGAAGGCCCAGACAGCCAGGAUGUUGGCUUAGAAGCAGCCAUCAUUUAAAGAAAGCGUAAUAGCUCACUGGUCGAGUCGGCCUGCGCGGAAGAUGUAACGGGGCUAAACCAUGCACCGAAGCUGCGGCAGCGACACUGUGUGUUGUUGGGUAGGGGAGCGUUCUGUAAGCCUGUGAAGGUGUGCUGUGAGGCAUGCUGGAGGUAUCAGAAGUGCGAAUGCUGACAUAAGUAACGAUAAAGCGGGUGAAAAGCCCGCUCGCCGGAAGACCAAGGGUUCCUGUCCAACGUUAAUCGGGGCAGGGUGAGUCGACCCCUAAGGCGAGGCCGAAAGGCGUAGUCGAUGGGAAACAGGUUAAUAUUCCUGUACUUGGUGUUACUGCGAAGGGGGGACGGAGAAGGCUAUGUUGGCCGGGCGACGGUUGUCCCGGUUUAAGCGUGUAGGCUGGUUUUCCAGGCAAAUCCGGAGAAUCAAGGCUGAGGCGUGAUGACGAGGCACUACGGUGCUGAAGCAACAAAUGCCCUGCUUCCAGGAAAAGCCUCUAAGCAUCAGGUAACAUCAAAUCGUACCCCAAACCGACACAGGUGGUCAGGUAGAGAAUACCAAGGCGCUUGAGAGAACUCGGGUGAAGGAACUAGGCAAAAUGGUGCCGUAACUUCGGGAGAAGGCACGCUGAUAUGUAGGUGAAGCGACUUGCUCGUGGAGCUGAAAUCAGUCGAAGAUACCAGCUGGCUGCAACUGUUUAUUAAAAACACAGCACUGUGCAAACACGAAAGUGGACGUAUACGGUGUGACGCCUGCCCGGUGCCGGAAGGUUAAUUGAUGGGGUCAGCGCAAGCGAAGCUCUUGAUCGAAGCCCCGGUAAACGGCGGCCGUAACUAUAACGGUCCUAAGGUAGCGAAAUUCCUUGUCGGGUAAGUUCCGACCUGCACGAAUGGCGUAAUGAUGGCCAGGCUGUCUCCACCCGAGACUCAGUGAAAUUGAACUCGCUGUGAAGAUGCAGUGUACCCGCGGCAAGACGGAAAGACCCCGUGAACCUUUACUAUAGCUUGACACUGAACACUGGUCCUUGAUGUGUAGGAUAGGUGGGAGGCUUUGAAGUGUGGACGCCAGUCUGCAUGGAGCCGUCCUUGAAAUACCACCCUUUAAUGGCUGGUGUUCUAACGUUGGCCUCUUACCGGGGUUGCGGACAGUGUCUGGUGGGUAGUUUGACUGGGGCGGUCUCCUCCUAAAGAGUAACGGAGGAGCACGAAGGUUGGCUAAUCCUGGUCGGACAUCAGGAGGUUAGUGCAAUGGCAUAAGCCAGCUUGACUGCGAGCGUGACGGCGCGAGCAGGUGCGAAAGCAGGUCAUAGUGAUCCGGUGGUUCUGAAUGGAAGGGCCAUCGCUCAACGGAUAAAAGGUACUCCGGGGAUAACAGGCUGAUACCGCCCAAGAGUUCAUAUCGACGGCGGUGUUUGGCACCUCGAUGUCGGCUCAUCACAUCCUGGGGCUGAAGUAGGUCCCAAGGGUAUGGCUGUUCGCCAUUUAAAGUGGUACGCGAGCUGGGUUUAGAACGUCGUGAGACAGUUCGGUCCCUAUCUGCCGUGGGCGCUGGAGAACUGAGGGGGGCUGCUCCUAGUACGAGAGGACCGGAGUGGACGCAUCACUGGUGUUCGGGUUGUCAUGCCAAUGGCACUGCCCGGUAGCUAAAUGCGGAAGAGAUAAGUGCUGAAAGCAUCUAAGCACGAAACUUGCCCCGAGAUGAGUUCUCCCUGAGACUUAGAGUCUCCUGAAGGAACGUUGAAGACGACGACGUUGAUAGGCCGGGUGUGUAAGCGCAGCGAUGCGUUGAGCUAACCGGUACUAAUGAACCGUGAGGCUUAACCUUACAACGCCGAAG
rnacentral:rRNA from 1 species